CCUACGGGAGGCAGCAGUAGGGAAUCUUCCGCAAUGGACGAAAGUCUGACGGAGCAAUGCCGCGUGAACGAUGAAGGCCUUCGGGUCGUAAAGUUCUGUUGUUAGGGAAGAACAAGUGCUAGUUAAAUAAGCUGGCACCUUGACGGUACCUAACCAGAAAGCCACGGCUAACUACGUGCCAGCAGCCGCGGUAAUACGUAGGUGGCAAGCGUUGUCCGGAAUUAUUGGGCGUAAAGCGCGCGCAGGCGGUUUCUUAAGUCUGAUGUGAAAGCCCCCGGCUCAACCGGGGAGGGUCAUUGGAAACUGGGAAACUUGAGUGCAGAAGAGGAAAGUGGAAUUCCAAGUGUAGCGGUGAAAUGCGUAGAGAUUUGGAGGAACACCAGUGGCGAAGGCGACUUUCUGGUCUGUAACUGACGCUGAGGCGCGAAAGCGUGGGGAGCAAACAGGAUUAGAUACCCUGGUAGUCCACGCUGUAAACGAUGAGUGCUAAGUGUUAGAGGGUUUCCGCCCUUUAGUGCUGAAGUUAACGCAUUAAGCACUCCGCCUGGGGAGUACGGUCGCAAGACUGAAACUCAAAGGAAUUGACGG
rnacentral:rRNA from 1 species